UCCCUUGGUAACGGCGAGUGAAGAGGGAAGAGCCCAGCACCGAAGCCUGCGGCAGUUUUGCUGUUAGGCAAUGUGGUGUGUGGGUCGGCUCGCGGGACCAUCACUCCACUCGAAGUCCAGCAUUGAGUAUGGCUAACACUGGAUUUGGCCCAUAGAGGGUGAGAGGCCCGUACGGGUGGAGGUUCAGACAUGUACGAUGGUUCACCAGGCCGGCCUCAGAGUCGGGUUGUUUGAGAUUGCAGCCCAAAGAGGGUGGUAAACUCCAUCCAAGGCUAAAUACGCUCACGAGUCCGAUAGCGAACAAGUACCGUGAGGGAAAGUUGAAAAGUACUCUGAAGAGAGAGUAAACAGUACGUGAAGCCGCAUGCAGGUAAACGGGUGGCGUCAAGCUGCGAGCCCGGAGGAUUCAGCUGACUGGGAUGUAGUGUGCGCACGCCUGGUGCGUCGAGAGGCCGGAAUAAGAUGCUUGUGGCGGUCCACUCCUCUGCUGGGAGUGGAGUGCAAUCGGCGUGCGCUUGCGUAUGCCGGUUGUCGCUAUGCAUGCCGGGUGGGUGCCGGAGCAUGCCGCUCAUCUGUUGGGCCACCUAGUCAGUGCAUUUUCUCCGUGGUGAACACCACGACCGGUGGAACUGCCAGUCUGCUGUGAUCAAGUCGUGUCCUCCUGGCGCGUUACUGUGCUAGGGGUUUGGCACGAUCGCAGGCGGAGUCGGUGAACGGCGCAGUGGUGCUUCGGUACUGCCGCGUGCUAUCGUGCACUCUCCGUCGUAAGCGGUUAGUGGGGUUGACUAAGUGCUGUGACCACUUCCCUAUUAACCGGCGGAUCACAGUGGUGAAAGGGACUGUGCAGGGCACCGGAGUUGUCCACCUCAUUCAAUAUGGUACCCGACACGCACGUUACAAGGUGCCUAUACAAUCGGGAUGCGCCGCUGUCUGCCUGGUGUUGGGCCUGGCUGUCGUGUCGCCUACGCAAAGU
rnacentral:rRNA from 1 species